CCUGAAUCAAGUGAAAGAACCCCAGGCUGACUGGCAAGAAAGAUACUCAGACAAGGUGAUAGAGUUCCUAAGAACAGCCGCAGGUAGAUCCAGUUCAUAAGAACAGGCCCAGCUAGUUGGACUCUUCCUAGGAACUGGAGGAAUUGCAGGAUAGCCUUGGCUGGUACCAACCUCUGCCAUUCUCUGUCCCCAUGCUGCCAGUGGCCACAAGGUGCCGGGGACCAGCUGGGCUUUGACAGCAGGAUCAAAACACCUUUGCCCAAGGAAACAGAGACCACAUUGGUUGGGGGAUACCAGCUAUAAUUCCAUGGUCUUUGAUAAACUUCAAGUCUCCACCUACCUUGUGCCUGGGCAGGAUUUGGCAGUGGUUUCUUGGAUAUAACAUCAAAGGCACAGGCAACAAAAGAAAAACAGACCAACUGGAGUUUAUGAAAAUUAAACUGUAAGUCCUUCAUCCUUAAUUUUUUUUUUUUUUUUGGUUUUUCUCUGGUUCCAGGAACCGAAGGCAGGCGCUUUUGCCGCUGAGCUAAAUCCCCAGCCCCUCCAUCCUU
rnacentral:lncRNA from 1 species